UAGUCCACGCCGUAAACGAUGUCUACUAGUUGUUGGGGGACUUGAUCCCUUAGUAACGAAGCUAACGCGAUAAGUAGACCGCCUGGGGAGUACGGCCGCAAGGUUAAAACUCAAAUGAAUUGACGGGGGCCCGCACAAGCGGUGGAGCAUGUGGUUUAAUUCGAAGCAACGCGAAGAACCUUACCUACUCUUGACAUCCUGCGAACUUGGUAGAGAUACCUUGGUGCCUUCGGGAACGCAGUGACAGGUGCUGCAUGGCUGUCGUCAGCUCGUGUUGUGAAAUGUUGGGUUAAGUCCCGUAACGAGCGCAACCCUUGUCCUUAGUUGCCAUCAUUUAGUUGGGGACUCUAAGGAGACUGCCGGUGACAAACCGGAGGAAGGCGGGGACGACGUCAAGUCAUCAUGGCCCUUACGAGUAGGGCUACACACGUGCUACAAUGGCCGGUACAGACGGUUGCCAACCCGCGAGGGGGAGCUAAUCUGAGAAAGCCGGUCGUAGUCCGGAUUGGAGUCUGCAACUCGACUCCAUG
rnacentral:rRNA from 1 species